UACGUAGGGUGCGAGCGUUGUCCGGAAUUAUUGGGCGUAAAGAGCUCGUAGGCGGUCUGUCGCGUCUGCUGUGAAAACCCGAGGCUCAACCUCGGGCCUGCAGUCGAUACGGGCGGACUUGAGUACUGCAGGGGAGACUGGAAUUCCUGGUGUAGCGGUGAAAUGCGCAGAUAUCAGGAGGAACACCGGUGGCGAAGGCGGGACUCUGGGCCGAUACUGACGCUGAGGAGCGAAAGCGUGGGGAGCAAACAGG
rnacentral:rRNA from 1 species